rnacentral:rRNA from 1 species
AGAGAUGAUUGAAUAGGUUAUUAGUGUAAAUUAAUAAUAAUAAUAAUAAAAAUGAUUUUAAAGUUAAAGUAUGGUGUAGUGAAUAAAUUUAUUUAUUAAUAGUGUAGAAGUGUACUGUAAAGGGCAAAUGAAAUAUAAUGAAAUAGUAAAUUUGGAGAGAAGAAAAAUCAAUAUUUGUACCUUGUGUAUCAGGGUUUAUCAAAAUUAUUAAUUGAUUAAUUGGUUUCCCGAAAUGGAGAGGGUAAAGGUUAUAUGACAGUUAAUGUAUCAUCAUUAUUGUGAAUUGGACCUUUGUAAUGAAAUAUUAUUCGUUCUCCAUGAUAUCUGGUUUUUCAAGAAAUAAAUUUAAUUUAAAUACUAAUGAAGUAGACACUUAAGUUAUUAAGAGGAUAUUUUUAGUAAUUAAGAUAUAGGGGGAUAAGCUCUUAUAUAAACAUUAUAAGUAAUGAAGAUUUGAUAAUGGGGGUAGGCUUUAAAUUAGCUUUCUAUUUAAAAAUGUUAUAAUUUUCUUAUGGAUAAAGAUGAUUUUUAUUUUAUUUAAUUUUUGUAUUGAAAUACUAAAUUGAAUUUUUUGAUUUAGGUAAUAAUGAUGAAAUGAGUAUAUUAUAAUGUUGAAUUAUUAUUAUUAAUGGAAUUUAUGUUAAGGAAUUAGGCAAAGGUGAGGUUCGCCUGUUUAUCAAAAACAUCUCUUUUUGAGUUUAUAUAAAGUAGGGCCUGCCCACUGAUAUUAUUAAAGGGCCGCGGUAUUGUGACCGUGCAAAGGUAGCAUAAUCAUUAGUCUUUUAAUUGAAGGCUGGAAUGAAUGGUUUGACGAAAUCUUAGCUGUCUCAGCUUAAAUUAUAUAGAAGUUAACUUUUAAGUUAAAAGGCUUAAAUAAUAGUAGAGGACGAGAAGACCCUAUAGAGUUUAAUAUAAUGAGGUUUAUUGAAUUUUUGGUGAUUUAUUAAAUGAAUUAAAAUUAUAUUUUGUUGGGGUGACAUGAAGAUAUAAUUAACUCUUUAUAUUAUGAACAUUGAUGUAUGAAUAGAUGAUCCAUUUAUAUUGAUUACAAGAUUAAAUUACCUUAGGGAUAACAGCAUAAUUUUUUUUGAGAGUUCUUAUCGACAAGGAAGAUUGUGACCUCGAUGUUGGAUUAAGAAAUAUUAUUAGGUGCAGCCAUUUAAUUAAUAGGUCUGUUCGACCUUUAAAUUCUUACAUGAUCUGAGUUCAGACCGGUGUAAGCCAGGUCGGUUUCUAUCCUUACUUAAACUAAUAGGUUUUAGUACGAAAGGACCAAUACUUAUUAAAUAUUUUAUAUAAUUAUGAGUAAUAUUAA